AGUCGACGGCAGCGCGGGGCAACCUGGCGGCGAGUGGCGAACGGGUGAGUAAUAUAUCGGAACGUACCCAAGAGUGGGGGAUAACGUAGCGAAAGUUACGCUAAUACCGCAUACGAUCUAAGGAUGAAAGUGGGGGAUCGCAAGACCUCAUGCUCCUGGAGCGGCCGAUAUCUGAUUAGCUAGUUGGUGAGGUAAAGGCUCACCAAGGCGACGAUCAGUAGCUGGUCUGAGAGGACGACCAGCCACACUGGGACUGAGACACGGCCCAGACUCCUACGGGAGGCAGCAGUGGGGAAUUUUGGACAAUGGGCGCAAGCCUGAUCCAGCAAUGCCGCGUGAGUGAAGAAGGCCUUCGGGUUGUAAAGCUCUUUUGUCAGGGAAGAAACGGCCGAGGCUAAUACCUUUGGCUAAUGACGGUACCUGAAGAAUAAGCACCGGCUAACUACUUGCCAGCAGCCGCGGUAAUACGUAGGGUGCAA
rnacentral:rRNA from 1 species